rnacentral:rRNA from 1 species
AUUGAACGCUGGCGGCAUGCCUUACACAUGCAAGUCGAACUGCAGCACGGGUGCUUGCACCUGGUGGCGAGUGGCGUACGGGUGAGUAAUACAUCGGAACGUACCUUAUCGUGGGGGAUAACGCAGCGAAAGUUGCGCUAAUACCGCAUACGCCCUGAGGGGGAAAGCGGGGGACCGUAAGGCCUCGAGCGAUUAGAGCGGCCGAUGUCUGAUUAGCUUGUUGGGGAGGUAAAAGCUCAACAAGGCGAUGAUCAGUAAGUGGUCUGGGAGGACGAUCAGCAGCACUGCGACUGAGCCCAGGCCCAGCCUCCUACGGAGGGCAGCGGUGGGGAAUUUUGGACAAUGGGGGCAACCCUGAUCCAGCGAUACCGCGUGAGUGAAGAAGGCCUUCGGGUUGUAAAGCUCUUUUGUCAGGGAAGAAACAGCAGCUCUAACACAGUCUGCGAAUGACGGUACCUGAAGAAUAAGCACCGGCUAACUACGUGCCAGCCGCCGCAGUAA